GGGGUUGUAGCUCAGUGGUAGAGUACUCGCCUAGCGUGUGCGAAGUGCUGAGUUGGAUCCUCAGCAUCACAU
rnacentral:tRNA from 1 species